UACGAAGGGGGCUAGCGUUGCUCGGAAUUACUGGGCGUAAAGCGCGUGUAGGCGGGUCUUUAAGUCAGGGGUGAAAUGCCAAGGCUCAACCUUGGAACUGCCUUUGAUACUGGAGACCUUGAGUCCGGGAGAGGUGAGUGGAAUUGCGAGUGUAGAGGUGAAAUUCGUAGAUAUUCGCAAGAACACCAGUGGCGAAGGCGGCUCACUGGCCCGGAACUGACGCUGAGGAGCGAAAGCAUGGGGAGCGAACAGG
rnacentral:rRNA from 1 species